rnacentral:tRNA from 1 species
GGAGAAGUACCCAAGUGGUUAAGGGGCUCCCCUGCUAAGGGAGUAGAUCGUGAAGAACGGUGCGAGGGUUCAAGUCCCUCCUUCUCCGCCA